GAGAGAGAGAGAGAAAUUGAUUUAUGCCUUCCAGGACAUUUGUUUCUUCUGCCCAUCACCUUGGUUGGUCUACAUGGUCCCUAGGGACUAAACAGCUCCAGGUGUGUUUUGCAUUGAUGGGUAUAGAAUUACUGGAAGAUACAUAAAUACACAAACAUUCAACAUUGCUGAAGAUGGCUGGGGCCAAAGUUCCCACCAUGCUCAAGGAGCAACACAGACCCUGACUGGUUGAGACUAAAGGAGCCCUUGAUAGCUCUGGCCUGCAGUUUGAACUACCUUGAGCACAUCAUUAUAAAUGUUGUCACUCUAGCCAUGCUGCACCGCUGGGGGAUGGUAUGUGUUUGAUUAACUAAAUAUUCAAUAAACCUACACAUGCAUUUUAAAGUGAGGUCCAUCCUUAAGACUAUCCAUCAAGUUCCUUCCUUUGUUGUUUUGCUUUCUUCUGAGACAAGGCCUCUUUCUAGCCCAGGCUGUCUUGGAACUCACUAUCUAGAUCUGGCUUGCCUCACACUCACGGCAAGUCUCCUGCCUCAGCUUUCUCAGUUUUUCAGUUCACCAUGCCAAGUCACAGAGUUGAAGACCCUAAAGAAAGUCCUCAGGAUAUAGCUGUAGUCUAUUCAAGCCUGGAGGAGCUGGAAGGAGACAGAUGCUUUGUGGAGGUGGACCUGCAAACAGUGGGGUUACAGUCUAGGCCAACCCAGAAUGUACUUUGGAUGAAGAACAUUCCUCAGACACAACCAGCUGAGUCCCCUCCUUCCAAGUGAAUAACAAGCUCUUCAAGAGAGAUGGGACCAUUCACUCCCAAGGAAUACACCAUUACUUCAGGAGCUCUUAUGUAAAAUGGGGAAAGAAAGACCAGACCACCCAGGGACAUCAACCAAACAUGGCACAAGAAGACACAAUAAUACCAGACAUCAAGGCUGGGUUUUCCCUGAGCUCUAAUGGAAGAGACCUGAUGGAGACCUCCAACCAGGCUCUCUCUCCACAUAACGUUUGCCUGGGUAUCUCUGCACUCAGGCUCGUCAGCCUCCAGAGGAAGCCUCCCUGAUGACAGUGGGACUAAGUACCUAUCCAUGAAUAUAGCAGAACAGCAUUAGGAACCAUUUUGUUGUUUUUUUUUG
rnacentral:sRNA from 1 species